UCUGCUACAUAUCCAUAUAACCAUAUAACUAAGUUGGCCCAAACCUAAAUAGAUUCAGGCGCAUUAAAUGAAGAGUGAGAAACACGCGUUAGACACAAAAAAAUCUCUUGUUUUCCAUUCGCGCUUCAUUAUAAAAGAACGUUACAUCUUCAACACGAAACCAAUACACCAAAAUACUCAUUCUCUUCGAAUAUCUCUGAACAUCACUCAAACUUCAAUCACAUUCUUUGCGAAAACCACUACUGCAAAGGAAUUGGAAGAAGAUUUCGCAAGCAACAACCAGAAACAAACAAAAACAGCAACAAAGACUACAAAAGAUGCCAAACUAAGGCAAUAACAACAGUGUACAAGAAAAUGAGUCAAGAAAAAAAAGAUAUUGUGGAAGAAAUGAAAUUUGGUGCUCUGGCACAUGUCCCAGAAAUGAACGUCUCUAAUACACUGUUGAAAGAAUUGCUUGAUCGGUUUGAUGAAGAGAGAGGAUGCCUGAAAACUCCUCAUAGGAGAAUAUACAUAACUCCUUAAAAAGUAGCAGCUGCCUUCGUCAUAACUAAUGAAGGAAAUUUUUUUUCCUAAAAAGGUUGAUUACAACAACUUGAAUUCAGCAAACAAGAAAAUAUUUGACAGCGUCAAAAAUAUUUUUUUGCGACUUUGGCAAAGAAUGUGUUGGAUAUGAGUGUAGAAGGGGAGGAGAACCGAAAAAAAUUCAAGAGGACUUUUUUUGUCUUCAUACAAAAGUACUUCUUGCUCCCUACAAUGGUAAGUGUGGCCUCUCCAAUCCAUAAGCCACCGAUCUUUCAUGUGGACAACAUUCAGGAAUGGGAUUGGAUAAAGCAUGUGCUCAUCAACUUCUUGAUGAAAGGAGUUGAAAACAAGAAAAAUCGUUCACUCACAGAAUCAAAAUCAGAAAGAGUACCGAACCGAAAAAUGUUCAUAUGGUUAAUAAAUGAUGAUCAACUUUAAAUCAAUAAGAAUACUAUUACAGUAGUAUGGCUUAUCAAAGUGAAAGUUUUCUCUAAUGUGAAUUGUCCUAAACAAAAUUCAUUUAAUACAUCAACAACCACAGCAUGUAUAUGUUAAACAAGUCAAUUAAAUUGUCACAACCCAACGAACCAAAAAUUCUUCAUGCACAGAACCAAAAUCACAAAGGGUACCAAACCGAAAAAUGUAUAUAACUAUUCAUACAAAUAAGAAGAACCACAUCUAUCUUAAUCAAAUAUAAUGAGACAAUUUUACAGUAGUAUGGCUUAUCAAAGUGAAAGUGUUGUCUCUAAUGUCAAUUGUCCUAAACAUAACUCAUUCAAUACAUCAACAACCACAAGCAUGUAUAUCUUAAUCAAGUUAAUUAAUAUGUCACAACCCACCGAACCGAAAAUCCUUCAUGCACAGAACCAAAAUCACGAAGGCCACCAAACCGAAAACGUUCAUGCGGUUAACAAGAAUAAUGUUCUUCAAUGCAAAAGAAGUACUGAAGAUAGUAACAAUGCUCUAGUUAAACUAUCCACACCAAUAAGAACAAGCUCCUAUAUCUUAAAGCCCUAGUUAUACUGUAAAAAUCAUUGAUAAUUGUUCAAUCUACUAAACGAAGCAAAUCAAAGUAGUAAAACUAAAAUGAAACUAGGCGAAACACGACAUUGCAAGAUUUUUAAAUGAACAGUAAUUUUUUCAUACCUUUUGUAGUCUUUGUUGUUGUUUUUGUUUGUUUCUGGUUGUUGCUUGCGAAAUCUUCUUCCGAUUCCUUUGCAGUAGUGGUUUUCGCAAAGAAUGUGGUUGAAGUUUGAGUGAUGUUCAGAGAGAUUCGAAGAGAAUGAGUGUUUUGGUAUAUUGGUUUCGUGUUAAAGAUGUAAGGUUCUUUCAUAAUAAAGCGCGAAUGGAAAACGAGAGAUUUUGUUGUGUCUGGCGCGUGUUUCUCACUCUUCUUUUAAUGCGCCUGAAUCUAUUUGGAUUUGGGCCAACUUGGUUAUAUAGUUAUAUGGUUAUAUAGAUGUGUAG